rnacentral:lncRNA from 1 species
CGAAUUCUUAAAAUCUUCAUUAUAAAUCAUUUGAAAUCCAAAUUGGAAAAUCUUGAUCGUAAACAAUUUCUUAAAAAAAGUAUGAAAAGUCAAUAUAAUCCUACAAAGUCUUUUAAAAUCUUAAAGAUUAUUCUUGAAAUCUCAAUCCAAUACGUUGAGUUUUUUAAUUUAUUUUAAUAGAAAUUCCUUUUAAACAUAUACAUAAAUCUUAUUGACCGUUGAAAUUUUAUGGUUUAGGGAGGGAAGGAGGAAAAGGGAGGCAGUAGGACUAGGACUCCAUAAUGUCACAUUAAUAAGGUGUAUACAAGAUACAAAACACAAGCCUUCCACUCCAAUUUAUUGCUUAGGCCAUGUGUAGUGUUAGUGUAGUGCUAUUAGUAUGAGGCCAGGCCUACACUAUUACAAUAACUCUCAUAACACUAAUUUUCUAGAGGAGACUAAUGCUUACAAUACAUAUACACAGGCACUGCACACCCAGUUUGCGAAUCUGUAAAUUAGCAUGCGUGUAUUUUCUCUUGUAGUCAUUGGUAUGGCUUUUCAAUCUAUACUCUAUAUCUCUUGUAUUCCAUUGUUGUUCAUUUUUUCGCCUGUCGUUGCAUUAUUUAUUUUAGUAAUUUCUAUUUAUGUUUCUUUGUACUUGUCUUUCCUAUCUUAAUAAAUUCUUCUAUUAUACAAUGAUAAUCAAAAUCAAAUAAUUGAUUAGUCUAGCACGUGAAUUACUUCUACUACUGAACUUUAAAAAGUUUCCAUUAUUUUAUGCUGUGCAUGUUACCUAAAAUAUUUGAUUUCUGAUAUAUUACCAUUGCUAUUUUUUGGAAAGAUAUGCUCUCUGCUUCAUCAAAGGUACAAGGAUUUCGUGCCAACUCUGAUUCAAGGGCUUCUCAAAGUCUUCUCUCCUGGAAAAUCUGGUGAUGAAACAGAUUCAGACAGAAACUUAAAGGCAAUGAAGAAGCGGAGCUCUCUGAAGCUUCUAAUGGAGCUUUUUUUUGUUGGUGUUAUUGAAGAUGGUGGAAUUUUUAUCAAUAUCAUAAAAGAUCUCACCAGUGUCGAACAGCUGAAAGACCGGGAAGCUACACAAACAAGUUUAACCCUUCUUUCCAGCUUUGCUCGGCAAGGAAGAAUUUUUCUAGGACUUUCUGUUAGUGGGCCCGAAAUUCAGGAAGAGGUAUUUCUUUUAUUAAUUCAUUAUAUCAGUUAUAUUACCAAUGCUUCUAUUAAUUGUUUUUGUUCAAUGUCCUCCUUGUUUAUGAUUGCAAAUUUUUUCCGACCUUUAUUUGUAUUAAAGAUUGUUUUGUCUGCCCAGAACUGUGUUUAAAUACUUCUACACUGACAUUCUGAUACAGUUUUUGAAAGGCCUUAACAUCACAGUAGAUCAAAAGAAAGUUAUCCGGAAAGCAUGUUUUUCAUUUUAUGAUGCUGCAGCUGAACUACUUCAGUCUGAGCAUUCUGUAAGCAUUUCUGUAUUUGUAAACAUUAUCUAAUUUUGUUUGUCUUUGCCUUUUCUUUUCUGGUUUCUUUUUUCCAUCAAGUAUGUGCCAAUAGUUUUGUUUGCCUUGUAAUUAUUGAUGCCUUUUAUUUCUUGACAGGCACUUCGAUUAAUGGAGCAUGAAAAUUCUAAGAUUUUGAAUGCAAAAGGAGAGCUAAGCGAUGAAAAUCUCUCUUCAUAUGAAAAACUUCGUAAAUCGUAUGACCAUUUGUACCGCAAUGUCUCAUCGUAAGUUGCUUUUGUUUAGUUUCAACAUUUUCAGGCCCUUCAAAAAAAAUUGACUUUUCAUGUUCACAUGUCUUAUUGGCUAUUGUUAAGAGUUCCACAUCGGAUAAUAUAUAGUCUCGGAUAAUAUAUAGUCUGAAUAUGAGUUUAUAAGUGAGGAUAGUCCUCACUCUACCAACCGGUUUUGUAGGGUUGAGUUAGGCCCGACCACAUUUCUUAACAUGAUAUCAGAGCCUGGUUUGAGAUUCGGUGGACCACCUAUCAUGGUUUCCACUAUUGGGCCACCCGCCAUUUAUUUCCACGCUCCAGUUGUCUAGUCCUGAGCGUGAGGGUGUGUGUUUAGAGUCCCACAUCGGAUAAUAUAUGGUCUGAGCAUGAGUUUAUAAGUGGGGGCAGUCCUCACCCUACCAACCAGUUUUGUAGGCCCGGCCACAUUUCUUAACAGCUAUUUUGUUUUUGUAUAUCGAUAUGUUUUUGCAAAAAUCCUAUGGCUCCAGUUUAAGUGUACAUGCUGCCUAUACAUGUUAUGCAUUAAGAAAAGUCAUAAAUGCUGAGUUAUUGAGACACAGCUCAUCAGAUUUGAGGCAAAUAUGGAUGUGGUUGUCUUUGGGUUAGAAUAGUUUAUGAGGAAGAUCUCUGUUGGUUGAAAACGUAAGCACAUUCAGGAUCAUAUAUAGAGUUUAGACCAUGUGUUGUCUGAGCCCUGAGGUGAUCUUCAUGUCUCUCAUCAAGGUUCCCCCCAAAAUUGAUAAAAAGGAUACUUUGUAACGUCUCUGUAAAAUAGUCUUGCUUUACUUGCUGUUAAAUUUUGACUUCUCAUUCCUCCUGCCGAUUUCUUUAUGUCUAGUAUAUACUAUAAGUGGAAUCAUCCUUCAGUAUAAUGUUGCUGUGGUGUCUCUAAUCUUUCCUUUUAAUUGUUCUAUCCUGUAAUUAUGAUUGUUUUGUUACAGAUUAGCUGAAGCACUUGAUAUGCAGCCUCCUGUAAUGCCAGAGGAUGGCCACACAACACGGGUUACUAGUGGCGAGGAGGCCGUUUCUUCUGCUUCUGGGAAAGAUUCUUCUGUUGAACCCAUAUGGGAUGAUGAAGACACAAGGGCUUUUUAUGAAUGUUUUCCAGAUCUUAGGUUUGUAUUUCCAAAAAACCUCUUUAUUUCUCAAAUUGCCAAUGGGCCCUCCAUAUAUAAAUCCAUCUUUUAGUCCUUGGACAUCACUGUGUUCUUACAUGUUUAAAACUUUGAUGUUAACGUCAAUGGCUUAAAAAUUUCUUUAGUUGGUUUACUCCUGUUUUAUUUUAGAUGGAAAUUUAUCCUGGUUGCUUUUCUCCAGAGCUUUCGUUCCUGCCGUGCUUUUGGGAGAAACAGAGCCAAAAGUCAAUGAGCAAUCUGUGAAGAGUCAAGACCAACCAUCUGUAAGAAAUCACAUUGGCAAUUCUAAAAAAACAUUGGCAAUUUUUUAAACCUAUUUUAGGAUCUUCUUUUUAUUGUCUUCUCAUACUUUUUAAUUUUCCCCCUAAUGGAUGAAGGUAAAAACCUAUGUGUAUCCAACUCUUAUAACUUAGGUCUUUGAAACUCAGUCAUGUACUGUUUUCUUCUUCUUAUUAUUAUAGUGUGACUCAGUUUAGUUUCCAAUUUUCAUUACGUAAGUCUUUAUCUGUUUUUCUACACACUAAAAAUUUGAUGCUAAUAUUAUCUAUUGGACCUCUACCAAGAUGCUUAACCUUUGAGGAAAGUUGAUCUUAAGCAAAAAUAGAUUGAUUUCUCAUAUAUAGCCAAAAAACCUCUGUCAUUCAUCAAUUUCAUAAAAUGCUGAUAAACUAUGUAUUGUUUCAUAUUUCUUCCCGUACUUCUUAGUUUUGGAGCAUGUACUUCUCAUUUCCUUACUUAGGAACUUUUUCCAAAUUUCAGCAACUUAAGUUGCCAUUGCAUGAUUGUUUAUAGAAUAAUAUGAAACUUUUUCUGACAGAGAACCAUCUUUUUGGGCGCUUUUUCCUUUUCUUACUUACGUUCUGCAACUAUUCUCUGACUCCGAGAUUGAUAUUAUCUAGGAAAUAUUACCUGAAUCAGACAAAAGCCAACUGAUCACCUUUGAAAGUGGAGAGGGCUCCACAGAGUGUAAUGUUUUACCAGAGGGAGAAAGCACUGAGAGAGUGGAUGAUAAAGAAGAAAAAGAAAAGUCUAAAGAUUUGGACAUAGACAAGGAAAAAGAAAAAGAGAGUGAAAAAAAAGGAGAAAAUGACAAAGAGAAACUCAGAAGUCUUGAAGGAACAAAUUUGGAUGCUCUAUUGCAGAGGCUUCCGGGUUGUGUGAGCCGGGACCUUAUAGAUCAACUAACAGUGAGGAUAUCUUAUUGAGCUCUAUUACUUAUAUUCUUAGAUUGUAUGCUAUUUUUUACAUCACUAUUAAUGAUUAUUUCUUGCCGUUUAAACAAAUGCUAGGUAGAGUUCUGUUAUCUAAAUUCAAAAUCAAAUCGGAAAAAGCUUGUGAGGGCUUUGUUUAGUGUUCCAAGGACUUCUCUAGAGCUGCUAGCGUAUUACUCACGCAUGGUUGCUACACUCUCAACUUGUAUGAAGGAUGUCUCCUCCCUUCUAUUGCAGAUGUUGGAGGAGGAGUUCAACUUCUUAAUAAAUAAAAAGGUUAACUUUACAUAUAUCUUUGGAGAUGAAUCAUUUUUUCAUCCCUUUAAUUAGUUAAUUACUUUUUGUCACCUUGUUUUUGGAAUGUCUUAACAGGACCAGAUGAAUAUUGAGACAAAGAUCAGGAAUAUCAGGUUCAUUGGAGAACUUUGCAAGUUCAAAGUUGCUCCUGCUGGCCUGGUCUUCACUUGUUUGAAGGUAUAAGAGACUAAUGAUCAAAUUAUAUAUCAUAGCUAACUCCUUUUAAUACAAAAGUCAAUAACAGUUUCCUUAAAUUUGCAAACUCUGUUUUGGAGCUGUUCUUAUAAUGUCAGUAGAUUUCAGGUUCACCCACUAUACAGUUUUUGUCUAGCUUUUUAAAUUCUAUUCUAUUUUGGUUACAGAAGUCCUAUAAGUUAUACUCAUGUGAAAUAGGCUGUUAUCCUCCAUUUUACUAGUUCUUAGAUCAAAUAGUUGUGUAUGAAUAUAUCAAAUAAUUGUAAAAUAUUGAACCCUCAGUUUAUGUUUUAUUAUCAUUUCAGGCCUGUUUAGAUGAUUUUAGUCAUCACAACAUUGAUGUAGCUUGCAACCUUCUUGAAACAUGUGGUCGUUUUCUGUAUCGAUCUCCAGAAACUAGUAUACGCAUGGGUAACAUGUUGGAGAUACUGAUGCGCUUGAAAAAUGUUAAAAACUUGGAUCCUAGACAUAGCACUUUGGUGGAGAAUGCAUACUACCUUUGCAAGCCACCUGAAAGGUCUGCUCGAGUAGCUAAAGUCCGUCCUCCGUUGCAUCAGGUGCAAUUCUUAUUUCAACUUCCUUUUCUUGUGCAAUUCUUAUUUCAACUUCCUUUUCUUUCUCUUAUAACUUAGUAAUCUCAAAUAACAUUAUAAUGAUAUCUUAAUUGCAGUAUAUCAGAAAAUUACUUUUCUCUGAUCUUGACAAGUCUACCAUUGAGCAUGUGCUGAGGCAGCUUCGUAAAUUACCAUGGAGUGAUUGUGAACCGUAUCUUUUAAAAUGCUUCAUGAAGGUUCACAAAGGAAAAUAUGGUCAGAUCCACCUGAUUGCUUCUCUUGCCGCUGGGUUAAGUCGCUAUCACGAUGAGUUUGCUGUAGCUAUAGUUGAUGAGGUUUGGUAUUUUACUUUCUUGAUUUGCCAUCUCUUAUUCAUCUGAAUUUUGAAGGAUGCCUACUUAGAAACACCUACUUAUUAAUUAGCUCUUGUUUGUGUUUCCAUGUAAAUUUGGUCGGACUGAGCAAGGAUGCCUCACAAUUUUAAGUUGCUCACUUAAUUUAACAUGGUCAAUAAUUAUUAUUAUUUUUCUCUGAUUUAAGUUUUGAAUUUACUAUUUCAAAUUCUAGAAAUCAACCCCAGGAGAAUGGACAUUUUUUAUGUGAAUUUUUAGACAUUACUUUCCAAACAUUUAUGGCGUUGAUUUUGGUAUUUGGUUUCAGGUUUUGGAGGAGAUUAGAGUUGGGCUGGAACUAAAUGACUAUGGGAUGCAACAAAGACGCGUUGCCAACAUGCGAUUUUUAGGGGAGCUUUACAACUACAAGCAUGCUGACUCAUCUGUUAUUUUUGAGACACUAUAUCUCAUUCUUAUAUAUGGCCAUGGAACACCAGAGGUAUUGAUUGUAUACUAACUUUUUAUGAGAGUUGUAGAAUUUAGGCUUAGGAUUCAAGGUUAGGACUGACCAUAUUUCUAAACAAUGCGAGAAUAAACACAACCCUUACACCCAACACAAGGUGUUUAAGACUGCAAUGAAUGCAGCCCGUAUUUGUCACAAUUAAAGCCUAGGAGUGGAAGCCAAUUAAGGUUGGAAUUUCCAAUACACCCAUCAUACCCAGGCCUGAUUGGUCAGGAGUGGGGACAAUACGGGAAACCCAACUACAUAUCUAGGAUAGCGUUUGAUACCAUCUUAGAAUUUGGGCUUAGGUCUAACCCAACCACGCAAAACUGACUCGCAAGAUGAUGAAUGCCGAAGUCAACUGAUCUCAUAGAUGUGUUCUACUACAUGACUUGAAUAUAGAUACACUUGAACUCUAUUGGUUUCAUUAAUUAAUUAAUUAAUUAUACAUAUGGUAGCCUUCUCAUGAUCUCAGUCAAUUUGUUUAUUUAUCCUGUCAGCAAGAUGUACUCGAUCCACCAGAAGAUUUUUUCCGUAUAAGGUUGAUCAUUACUCUACUUGAAACUUGUGGCCAUUACUUUGAUCACGGCUCUUCUAAGAAGAAACUUGACCGGUUCCUGACACACUUCCAAAGGUAUAUUUUAAGCAAAGGUGCACUGCCUCUGGAUGUUGAAUUUGACUUGCAGGUCAGUUGGGAGCCCUUUUUUUACUGCAUUUCAUUACGAGUGAAUGACUGAUGUGUUUAUUUACGUAUAUGAUGAUUUAUAUUAGCAGUCGUAAUCCUAGUUUAUCUAUGCAUCAGUAUUGAGUUUAAUCCAAUAGAAUUGAGAAAACUCGAAUGGUAUUGUUGUACCAUAUUCUGUCUUUGGGAUGGCAUCAUAUUUAACAUUAAAAUAUUUAGAAUUGGACAUGCUGAGGUGUUGUAGCUUUAUGCAUUAAUAGUUGUUUUUAUUUAAUCUUGUUUGUGAUUAUUUUGGUAAUGGACUUGAAGAUGUCUUUUUGUUCUUUAUUCUUGUAAUCCAGAAGAUAUAUUAUUUUUUCUUGUUCAUUUUUAUCAAUUUUAUUUGAGUGGCCCUGUUGCCAUCUAAUACCUUGAUAUUGUAGAAUUAAGUGUUUAUAUAUGAUAGGGUCUGUUUAUGACUAACAUGAUGAAUAUUUUAAUUUGACAAAGUACAGUAAUAGGAUAUGUUUAGAAUUGAAUAUUUAGGAUUGGAUAUACCGAGAUGUUGUAGCUCUAUGCAUUAAUAGUUGUUUUUAUUUAUGUUGCUUGUGAUUAUUUUGGUAAUGCACUUUAGACUUUAGAAGAUAUCUUUUUUGUUCUUUAUUCUGGUACUCCAGAAGAUACAUUAUUUUUUCUUGUUUAUUUUUAUCAAUAUUAUCCGAGUGACCCUGUUGCUAUGUACUACCUUUAUAUUGUAGAAUUAAGUGUUGGUAUAAAAUAGGAUCUGUUUAUGACUAGCAUGACGAAUAGUUUAAUUUGACAAGUCCAGUAACAGGGUAUGUUUUAAUAUGGAGUGAAGAAUAAAUAUGGUAUAACCAUCUUGAAAAAUAACCAUCUUGAAAAAUAUGGUAUUACUUGUGGGAAAAUGUAGCUGCCAACAUUUUCCUUUCACCUCUUUAUCAUCUCCCUCAUUCCAGCAACUGGCAACAAUGGACUUAUAUAUCUUUUUAGAAUGCUUGUCAGUAGAUUUCAAAAACUGUCACUAACUUUUGUAUACCGAUGGAUAUUCAUUUUCUUACAUUUGCUAUUUUUGGGUAAUUGAUUGUUCUGUAGGAUCUGUUUGCGGACUUGCGUCCAAGUAUGGUUCGUUACAAUUCUGCUGAUGAGGUGAAUGCAGCUCUAGUGGAACUCGAGGAGCAUGAUCGAAUAGUUUCUGCUGAUAAGGCUAGUAGUGAAAAACUUUCUGACACUGAUAAGCCCUUAAGUAGGACCAGUUCCACUGCGAUGGUUCGCAAUAAACAGAACAAUGAUAACGGCACUGAGGAAAAUGGAGUGCAAGAUAAUGUUAAUGACGGUGAGCAUGAUUCCGGGAGUGACGUAAUUGAUGUAGAAGAACAUGAUGAUGAAGAGUUGGUGAGUGAGAAUCAUUGAUUGAUGGGUGUGAGACUGAGGAUGACGACGAGGAUGAGGAUGGACCUGCUUCUGAUGAUGAAGAUGAAGUCCACGUAAGACAGAAGGUGACAGAAGUCGACCCAUUGGAAGAAGCCAAUUUUGAUCAGAGCUCAGGCUGUCUACAGGUAAGGCUUUUACUUAUUUUAUCAUGUUUACUUUGCUCCUGAUUUAUUUCUGCAAAGUUUCAUGAUUUACCUGGACACAGAUUGUUUUCAAAAUAGUUUAGUUUUUAUGGCACAAUAUCUCAUUUAGUUAGAGCCUUAUUUUCAAAAUAUAUCAUUCUUUGUCUUCUCUCUUGCCCACCAAAUUCCUAAAUCUCAACAAGCUUUUGUAAGGUUAGAUUUUCUUUGUAAAGGAGGAGGGCUAGCAUUUUCUUGAUGUGUACAAUGUUUGGCUGCUGGUUUUAUAACAUAUUCAUGGUGCUUGUAUCAUAAUUUAUGCAGGAGAGUAUGGAGCAGCGACGACUGGAGCUGCGGGGUCGUUCCUACACUUGAAAUUGAUGAUUCCAAUGAAUGUAUUAAGGAUCUGCCAAGGAUCAUCAUGGGAGAGGAGUUGGUGGGGAAAGUGGCGAUGAAGCCUUAGAUGAUGAUACUGGCAUAAACAAAGAGGUUCAGGUGAAAGUUCUGGUUAAGCGUGGGAACAAACAACAAACAAAGCAGAUGUACAUCCCCAGUGAUUCCUCAUUGGUGCAGAGUACGAAACAAAAAGAAGCAGCUGAGCUUCAGGAAAAAGAAGACAUUAAGAGGCUAUCUUGGAGUAUAAUGAUAGAGAGGAGGAAGAGUUUAAUGGAUUAGGGCCCAACCAACAAACUGGAUGCAAGUGGAGGUAACAAAGCUGGUGGUGUGGAAACUCUUUUGAAGGAACCAGUGGUAGGGGUGGCGGAUCACGGCAUCGUCAUCAUAAUUACUAUUUCUGGCGGUGGGAUCUACUAUAGCAGAAGAAGGUGAAUGAUAGUUGAGUGAAUAUGGAAGGCAGGUAUUUUAUGCAAUCUGCUUCCCCUCAGCACGACAAAUAUUUGAAAACAAAGUCCAUCAGAUAUUCAUGAUUAAUUAUGGCCCGACCUCUUCUUGUGCCACUAUCAUAUUAUACUCUUCAAACUAUUACUGGCAAUGUCCCCUUAUCUUUUUGAUAAGUGGUGGUUUUAAGUAUGGUGCAUAGAUAAUGCAUGGCUUGUGGGGUGUUGUGCACACUAUUUUGGACUCUUGACUAAGUUGAUGUGCAGGAUUGUAACUGGUGGAUUCCUGUAAUUAUAUCACGGCCUCCAAACCUCAUGUAUAGUUCUAUGUGGAGACAAAAUCACUAAAUGAAUGGUUUUGGGUUUUGACUGUUGUUACUUUGUCAAGUCGGCGAGGUUGGCUUGUAUCUUUGAAGGAAAAAUGAGUAGAGGCAAAAUUUGUAGCAGAAAACUAUCAAACAUCAGUUUAAGAAUCAACCUCUAUUGUCUUGGUCAUGGUUACUGAAUGUCUCCCAUGCAUGUUAUACAUAUCAUCAGCAUUACAUUCUAGUUCAGAGUAAUUCUUUAUAGACUGAAGUAUGGAUCUAUUUGAUCCCAUUCUGUUGAGAGGGGUCUAAGUGUAGAUUGUACUGUAUUUAAAAAUUGGGAUUUCCUCUUGUAAAAACUUGAGAUAAUGGUCUAAAUUCCCCAAGAUUAAUUUACUUGAGCGUGAAGCGUGUUGUUAAUAUGGUUACUUAACUGGAUUGAGUUUCUGCUGAUAUUCAUAUUUAUGCCAUUU